rnacentral:lncRNA from 1 species
AGAGGAAGACACCAGAGCUGUCCCUCUCUCGGCUUGCACUAAGGAGGAGGUCACGUGAGCACACAGUGAGAAGGCGGAGGACCAUCUGCAAGCAGGAAGAGAGCCCUCGCUAGAACCCCCCACGGUGGCAUCUGAUAGUGGACUUCUAGCUUCCAGAACUGAACUCAUAAAUGUCACAUCAGGCUGCCUCUUGGUGAAUUUUUAAUCAACGGGGAGAAUUUCAGCUACAAAUAGACCAAGAAUCAAGAGGCCCACUAUUGAUCGGUCAAAGUGGCACUUAUGAACCUGAGGUUGAAGCAGUUUGGAUAAAAGGAUUCUGGGCUUUCGAUGGCCCCAGAGACAUCUUUUUCCAUCAAGUCCAGGCUUGCUGAUCGGUACAGCUGAGAACAUGUUGAAUUUGAUGUGCCUGUGGAUAUUUGAGUCUGGAACAUUGAAGACAAGUUUGGUCUGGAGAUGUAGACUGGGGAUAUCUCAGCACACAGAUGAUAACUGAAAUGAUGGAGCGGAUGAUAUAAACUGGAGAGAGUCUGGUGUGGGAAGAGUCUUCCCUGAGGUGGCCGAAAGAUGUAAUUCUUACUCCAAAGACUGAAAUAGAGACAAGAGAAGCUGAAGUUACAGGGUUUUGUCAUUGGGAAGACAGUAGAGUGUGUCAUAUCCCAAGAGUGAAGCAAGGACAAACCAAAGAACAACUGGGAAGAUCUGGGAGAAAAAGGGAGAGGAGAGCCUGACGUUUCAAGAACUCAAGGUUCAGUACUAGGUCUUAGAGGAAGACUUCAUUUUAGCUUUGAUGCUCUCCGCUAGGCACAGAGAAACUUAAGCAGAAUGACAAGACCUGCUGUUUGAGUAACUCACGUUCUGACCAGAGAGACAGACAUGUCAGCAAGAGGUUACAAUACAGUGUGCUCAGAUUCUCCGGGACUUGGAGCACUUGUUCCAGAAAGGAAGGCCAGGGAAGUCUUCCAGGAGUAGAUGGCGCCUCUGCUGACCUGAAGGGUGAGGAAAAAGUGUCCAGUUGCAGAAGAAAUGAUGCAACUGAGUCACAGAGAAGUUAAGUAAUCUGCCUGCCGACACUCGGGUCGAUGCCGCCUCAUUCCAUCACUCGGGCAAUGGAGCCAAAGGCCACGUUCACAACCACUAGGCUGUCCCAGCCCCUUGCUUCAAAGAUAGCCAGGCAGGAGUUAUUUUAUAGAAUGGAAGUAAUUUCUACGGGGCCAAGCAAUAAUAAGGAAAUUGGAAGUCAAGGACUAUCUUCCGAAUGGAGAAGAAGCUCCAUCAACCACAGAAGGAAAUUAUGAUCACUCCUGCCAUCCUGCUCCUUUGUGUAUCCAGGAUGAAGGGGAGAAUUGGAGUCUUGCACAAUGAAAGGACAACAUUGCUGCCAAAACAAUCCAUCGUGACUGUAGACAUAUUUUCCACCCUCAUCCUGCAGGUUUUCUGCCAGUUGUUGGCCCCUCACCAAUUUUGCUCCUGGGCAGUCUGAGGUGGAACAUAAUUUUGUAUAAAACAAAUUAUGCUCAACCUCACUUAUAAUCAGGGAAAUGUGAGUCAAAACCACAAUAAAAUAUCACCUC